rnacentral:rRNA from 1 species
AUGAAAAGCACUUUGAAAAGAGGGUGAAAAGAACCUGAAACCGUCACGGGGGAAGCGGAUUGCGUUGGCCUGGUGGGUGCCUGUGUGUUCAGCCUUUAAUUAAUUUUUUGGGUGUAUUGGCACAGGUGCUUAUCCGCCGUGGGUUUUCGGGGGCCGAUUUUGGGUCCCUGGAGGCUGAGGGCUCCCUUCGGGUGAGGACGGCGGAGUGACGACGCGAUACGACCCGUCUUGAAACACGGACCAAGGAGUCUAGCGCGGGUGCGAGUCGGAGGGUGCAAGCCCGUGGGCGAAGUGAAAGCGAGUGUAAAAACGAGCAGUUUGGGGCGGCAUAAGAUCGUUGAUCUUAAGACCGACCCAGAGCAGUUGCGCUGGGACCCGAAAGAUGGUGAACUAUGCCGGAGUAGGGCAAAGCCAGAGGAAACUCUGGUGGAGGCUCGUAGCGGUGCUGACGUGCAAAUCGCUCGUCCAACUUGGGUAUAGGGGCGAAAGACUAAUCGAACCAUCUAGUAGCUGGUUCCCUCCGAAGUUUCUCUCAGGAUAGCGGGCCGACAAGUUGUUUUGUGC